rnacentral:rRNA from 1 species
UUUUUUGACCCGCGGCAUGCUUUACACAUGCAAGUCGAACGGUAACAGCACUUCGGUGGCUGACGAGUGGCGAACGGGUGAGUAAUACAUCGGAACGUGCCUAGUAGUGGGGGAUAACUACUCGAAAGAGUAGCUAAUACCGCAUGAGAUCUACGGAUGAAAGCAGGGGACCUUCGGGCCUUGUGCUACUAGAGCGGCUGAUGGCAGAUUAGGUAGUUGGUGGGGUAAAGGCUCACCAAGCCAACGAUCUGUAGCUGGUCUGAGAGGACGACCAGCCACACUGGAACUGAGACACGGUCCAGACUCCUACGGGAGGCAGCAGUGGGGAAUUUUGGACAAUGGGCGCAAGCCUGAUCCAGCAAUGCCGCGUGCAGGAUGAAGGCCUUCGGGUUGUAAACUGCUUUUGUACAGAACGAAAAGUCUUGGGUUAAUACCCUGGGACCAUGACGGUACUGUAAGAAUAAGCACCGGCUAACUACGUGCAGCAGCCGCGGUAUACCUAGGGUGCAGCGUUAUCGAAUACUGGC